rnacentral:rRNA from 1 species
UCGAGAAUCAUUCGCAAUGGGCGAAAGCCUGAUGGAGCGACGUCGCGUGAUGGACGAAGUGCUUCGGCACGUAAACAUCUUUUAUGUGGGAUGAAAUUAUUGACAGUACCACAUGAAUAAGGGGCUCCUAACUCUGUGCCAGCAGGAGCGGUAAUACAGAGGCCCCAAGCGUUAUCCGGAAUCACUGGGCGUAAAGGGUGUCGAGGCGGUUGUAUUAGUCGUUCGUAAAAUCUACGAGCUUAACUUGUAGGCGGCGAACGAAACGGUACGACUUGAGGUUUGGAGAGGUGCGUGGAACUCACGGUGUAGGGGUGAAAUCCGUUGAUAUCGUGGGGAACACCAAAGGCGAAGGCAGCGCACUGGCCAAAAUCUGACGCUCACACACGAAAGCUAGGGUAGCGAAGAGGAUUAGAUACCCGCGUAGUCCCUGAGCGGGCUGGCAAGGCGCAU